rnacentral:lncRNA from 1 species
UGAAAAAGCUUUGAAAAAUACGAUAUGAAUGUCAUAUAGUAGAGGGAGUCUCCUUAACGCAUGUAAUAUUGCGUGGCAGAAGCAUAGAGUCGCGCCAGGCGUCAAAACUU